GACGAACGCUGGCGGCGUGCUUAACACAUGCAAGUCGAGCGGUAAGGCCCUUUCGGGGGUACACGAGCGGCGAACGGGUGAGUAACACGUGGGUGACCUGCCCUCAGCUCUGGGAUAAGCCUGGGAAACCGGGUCUAAUACUGGAUAUGACUCCAUGACGCAUGUUGUGGGGUGGAAAGCCCUGUGCGGCUGAGGAUGGGCCCGCGGCCUAUCAGCUUGUUGGUGGGGUGANGGCCUACCAAGGCGACGACGGGUAGCCGGCCUGAGAGGGCGACCGGCCACACUGGGACUGAGACACGGCCCAGACUCCUACGGGAGGCAGCAGUGGGGAAUCUUGCGCAAUGGGCGAAAGCCUG
rnacentral:rRNA from 1 species